rnacentral:rRNA from 1 species
GAUGAACGCUGGCGGCGUGCCUAACACAUGCAAGUCGAGCGAUCUUCUUCGGAAGAGAGCGGCCGACGGGUGAGUAACGCGUGGGUAACCUGCCCUGUACACACGGAUAACAUACCGAAAGGUAUGCUAAUACGAGAUAAUAUGCUUUUAUCGCAUGGUAGAAGUAUCAAAGCGCCGGCGGUACACGGAUGGACCCGGGUCUGAUUAGCUAGUUGGUAGGGUGAGGGGUUACCAAGGCGACGAUCAGUGGCCGACCUGAGAGGUUGAUCGUCCACAUCGGAACUGAGAAACGUGGCAAACUCCUACGAGAUGCGGCCGUGGGGAGUAUUGCACAAUGGGCGAAAGCCUGAUGCGGCAACGCCGCUUGAGCUAUGAAGGCCUUCGGGUCGUAAAGCUCUGUCCUCAAGUACGGUAAUGACGGUACUUGAGGAGGAAGCCCCGGCUAACUACGUGCCAGCCGCCGCAGUAAUAC